GUCCAUGUUUGGAUAUAGAUUUUUUCUUCUUCUCUUUGUCCAAGAGUUGGAUAAAAUUUCUACAUCUCUAGCGUAGAGAUUUGGUUCAUGAAUUUUAGGAAGAAAAGAAAAGAAAGGGUUCUUCUCAUGAUCUCUAGCAUAGAGAUCAACAUCCUCCUACUUCUUCUUCUCUAAGAGUGUCUUGAGAGAAAAAAUUUUCAACUAUCAAGAUAUAAUCUCUGCAAGGUAGCUAGCAUCUCUAUGAGGUCAAUAAGCUUCUGAUCAGAUAGAAGUCUUGUAUG
rnacentral:lncRNA from 1 species